AGCUCGGUCGAGAGGCCGGCCCGUGGGCGUAGCGGGUUCUCGCUGUUGGCCGGAGUGUCCCGUUCUCGUGGUUUUCGGUCGUCUGAUGUUGACGCCCCCCUCGGGUGGGAGUUGGCCUCUGGCGGUCGGGGCCGGGCAUUCCCCUCCCCCUUUUGCCCCGUCUUUGGGGCACUUGGGGCCGCUUUUUCUUUCAGAAGCACGUUGAGGAACAUGAAUGUUGAAGGCUGAACCUUGGGGUCCCUCUGUUGCCUUUGCGGGUGAUGAUGGGGCCCGAGUUGAAAACCAAAGUAACGACUCUCAGCAACGGAUAUCUUGGCUCUUGCAACGAUGAAGAACGCAGCGAAAUGCGAUACCUAGUGUGAAUUGCAGAAUUCCGCGAAUCAUCGAGUCUUUGAACGCAAGUUGCGCCCGAGGCUUGUCCCGAGGGCAUGCCUGCCUGAGCGUCACCGCACUCCCACCUGGGCACUCUCCAGUGUGGAACUGGCCGUCCGGGAUCCUUGCCCGCCCAAGGGCGGGCUCUGGGUUGUGGUUGGCUGAAAUGCAGCUAUCUGGGCGUGGCCGAAGAGAGGGGUCGCGAGAAGGUGAUUCGCUCUGCGGGGCGGAGUCUAAUUGGACAGCACCUCUGCCUUUGGUGGUCCCAGAUGGUGGCACUCGCGUGUCAUUGGGGAGGUGCAACGUAAUGUCGUCAUCUCCCCUCCCUUGCAGCUUGGACCUCAGAUCAGGCAAGAUUACCCGCUGAGUUUAAGCAUAUCACUAAGCGGGGGAAAAAA
rnacentral:rRNA from 1 species